rnacentral:lncRNA from 1 species
ACGAAGCCACGCAGUGACGUCGCCACGCACGUACGCACGCACUUGCCACAAGGAGACGCUGUUCAGUUUACCGGAUCCUGUCCCGCGCCAGCCAACCAGGACAAGGCCGGGGAGCUCGAGACAGGCAGCCUAGACCAAGAACCGGAAGGAGGAAAAGGAACCGGAGGGAGGAAGAGGAGGGGCGGGACGAGACCACCAGGCAAGAGUCCAAACUUUCCCGCGGCGACCUAACUGCACCUCCAGUGUCUUCCCCCAGAGGGCACAGAAGCAGCAAGAAGGGCGGGAACACUUGACUGGGGUCCAUGCAGCUCUAGGCUGAGUCUUGCAGGGCUGAGCCCCCCAGGCCUGCUCUCCUGUGUCCUGGCCGCUCCGUCAGUGCCUGCCAGUGGGGUCCAGAGGGACCGUUUUUUUAACGCCUCUUUUGCAGUCUCCCGCAUUGACUUCAUAACCAAGUUCUGGGUCCCUGCCUCUGGAGUGCCUGAUGAGACAAAACGGCUCCUCGUCCUGCAUCCCCGCUGCUACUUCCAGAAUUCAGGCCUCGUGGUCUGGAGCCUGCACUGUUCCAUGAGCCUCCUGAGCAACCUGGAGUCCUCUGUCUUUCUUCCCUCAGUGAGAUGCGCCUACUUCUCCCUGGAGAAGCUUGAGGAAGCAGAAAUGCUGGAGAUGAGCUGCUCCUCACUCUCACUCCUGGGUGUGCUGGGCAGUGGGGUGCAAUGUGCACGUAGGUGCACACUCUCCCUGGGCGGCAGCGAGCAGCAGAGGUCUGAUCUGUGGUCGGAUGACGAGAGGAAGUGCAAGUAAAGCAGCUGCAGCGAGACCUCGUCCGCACAGGGGCUUGUUCUUCUGUGUCUUUGCAGGGCUGUUUUGGACUCAGUAUUCACCUAAGCACUCCAAAUUACCCAGCACACCCUGCCUGCAUGGCGCUGCGCUGCACCUUCACUCUGGUCACGGGUCUGGCAGUCAGCUCACCAAUUCCUCCUGCUUCCCUGGGACUUGCCGGCUUUUAGCACUGCAAUUCACUCAGCAAACUGGGACUGUUGGUCACCCUACCUGGCAGCCAGUGAUAAGGUGAGGGCCACUCCUGGGAGGGAGGACACCUGUGGGGAAAAUUCUUGUGUUAUUUAUUUCUCCUUCGGGAUAGGGUGCCUGCAGCGCUUCAUGGGAGGGGGUGGGCUGAUGCUGCGGGCUCAGAAGUUUCAAGGGCAUCUGGGGAGACCAGAUAUUCAGAGACCUUCUAGAUGUGCCUGUUCCAUGUAUCAGGGACGCAGGUUUUCCCAACAGGGCUGGUGUCAUUGGCAUGACAGACCUGCCUUGGCUGAGCGUUCACCUGUCUUUGGAGUUCAGCCACCUUAGCAAGUCCUGGGUUUGUUCUUCAGACUUUGCUGCUCGCCCAUUGCCUGGAUCGGGGGCUACUUUGUAAACCACCAGGAAGACUCCAGUGUUUCUGGUUAAUUUUUAGAUGUUUGUUAAUUGCUCUUGGUCUCUCAUUAAUCCCCUGUGGGUCAUCCAGGAAACAUACUCACCACUGUCUGUUCUCUGAGUUUUCAUUUCCAGGCAUCCGCCCUGCCUGGAUCUCCUCACCUGCCAGGAACUUCCUCUCCACAAGCCGGCCAUCCCAGCAAAAGUUCUAACACCAAAGGUCUGGCAACUAGCCUGCCAUCUUGUGCCUGGAGCCGCCUGCGUGCCACCUACUCCCGAAGAUGGGAACCUUGUUGCCAGUUGGGCAGAUGCGGGGCAAUCCUGUACCAAGACCCCAUUUUACCACCUGCUUUCUCAGACCACUCUGGAACCCACUGUCUCAGAUUGUGUCCUCCAGGAAGCAGACCAUGAGAGGGAGUUGGCAGGGCCAAAGAUUUACUGGGGCUAACUAACACUCAGGAAAGGGAUAGGAAGGAAACAGGGCUGGAGAGCAGGUUGAGCCCGACCUGACAGUCUCGAGCAGCCCAACAGGGAGGUGUGGAGCAAGGGUUGCCCACUAGAGGGGCCUGCAUUGGGUACGGGUGAUGGGGUCCACAUGGUACCUGGCAUAUAGCAGGCUGUGCAAUCCAUAUUAACUGACUGGAUAAAUUAAUGCCCAGAAAAGGUGCCCUGGAGAAUGGGUGUGUGCUGAACACAAUAGGGAAGGGCCCAGCAUCUGCCUUGGCAUAGGCAGAACUGUGCUGUGCCCUGCAACAGGCCACCUGAGAGCUGCUUUGAUCUUGUGUGUACAUUAGAUGACUGCCAGGGGCAUGAAGGGGAUGUGCUUCCAGGGCAUUUGCUGGCAGGGCGUCUCGUGAUCUCUUGGUAUUGGUGUGAGCACAGCCUGGCAGGAGAGGGCAGAUCUCCAUGCAAAGUAUGUCAGAAAGCAGAUGGAAGCCAGGCCCCCUCCUGAAAGAGGCUCCUUGAAGGCUCCUGGGACCACAUUAUCAUUCUCUUCACUCGAGAGAUGAGGACACUGAAAUUCAGAGAGGGGAAGUGAUUUGCCUCAGCUUGUACUAAAGAAACAUUUCAACAGAGAACCCAGUGGAAAUUAUGACAUGUUAUCUUCUCAGAGUCCUGAACUCCCAUCCCUACCUCAGAAGAGACUCCUCUGUUCACAGAAGCUAAAGGCAGUUCCUUCCCAAUGGCAACUAUGUUUGGAUGUUGGAUCUACACUUUCUCAAGCACUGUGAUCUUCAAAUCAAAGGAGAUUUCUCCCAUUAUAUACUUCUUAUGAUCAACAAAUUCCAUCAUCUCCCCACUAAGAGAAAGUACUCCAAGAUGAUAGAAUGAUUUUAAAGUUAUGGGACUACAACAGCAGCCACAGGAACCUUGAACUGCCAUCCAGGGCCAUGCAGCAAACAAGCAACAGGGAAAUAUCCCACUAUGCAAUCCUAUUUUGAGAUGAUAUUUAGGAUGAGAGAACAUGCAUUAGUUACCUACCAGCUUGACAGGAAUGGAUUUCCAAAUCUGACACACCAUAGCCUGAAUUCUCACCAGUUUGCUCCUGGAAAGGCCCGCUCAUGCAUGAGCCCCUGCCACUCUUCUAAAUAAGCUUCCAGGCAUUACCUGCAUGCUGUGUUCCUGUGGUGGGAUGGCAGUAAUCUCUGCUAAGAUAAACGGGAGCUUCUGUGGAUAAAGCAUAAACGCAGUGAAGUGUGUGUGGCUGGAAGAUUUAAUGCCUCUACAGUGCUUAGAUACAAGUUGAGCUUGGAAUUCCAGAGGUAGAGCACUGCUGAUUGGAGACAUAUUAAGUAAAAUGUACUGUGGAAAUGAGAUAAAACCUUUAUUCUUGCUAAUGAUUGUCAUUGUAUGUAUUCAGGUGUCCAACAAAGGAUUUUAGAAUAAAGUGUGCCUUUAAAGUUU